CGCGUUGGCGGGGCGCCCGGCCUUGCGCCCCCGCCCAUUGUGUGCUGGCCCCCGGGCUUCACCGCAGCCGCCGGCUGUCCCCCGCCCCGCCCAGCCCGUGCGCGCAGGCCGGGCCCUCCCUUCGGGAAGCUGGGGUGGCUUGCUCCGCGCGCUCUGACGCCCUCUCCGCGGGCUGGUCCGGGACCCUGCGCCCCGGCCGGCUGGACUGCCUGCUGUCGCUUAGCUUUUCGUACUCCAGACCUGGCAGCCCCCCCCCCCCCCCCCCCCGGAGGCCUGCCCCACUUGGCCCUACUCCGACACCCUCUUCUCGGCCAAGGGGUCGCCCGUCCACACCAAAUUUUUUGAGACCUUAAUAUUUAUUCUUGAAUGGCCUUACAUUUUUUAUUACAAAGGCUCCCAGUCCAAAGUCGCUUCAAGGGGAAAACGCGAUUGUAGUCAGCCACUACCACAAAUUAUGCAGUCGAGUUUCCCACAUUUGGGGAAAUCACAGAGGUCAGCACGUCCAGAGUGCAAUGGAUAAGCCUCACCCUGGGAAAACCACCUUAGUGAUCAUGGUAUCUCCCCUGCCAGAUCCUUUCAGGAAGAAUUGCUAAUGAUGUACUUCAGGAAGAAGAAACUUGUACUCAUACAAAGGAGUGAGGAAUGAGGGCAAGUGACGGAAGCAAGAUCUUGGCAAAGGUCUUGGCUCAAAAAAGCAACGGUAAGAACGGGUAAAAUGAUCAAAAACAACCAUUUCAGUACUCUGGAAGUUAACCAAAGGCAGACAGCAAAUUGAAAGGCAAUUCAACAAAACACUUGAGAGCCUCAGUAAUAACAAUGGCGUCUGUGACAUUUUACUACCAGGUGACUCCCGUUUCCCUUCCCCCAACCCCAAAGGCCAGGACAUGGUAGCCACGAGAAUUGGCUGCCUUACUGCUGCUGGAGGGGCUGACCUGAUUUCGGAGCUCUGCAAAAAAAAAUUCAUAAUUGAGAGGUGAUGUUGAAAAUAAUAUCAAUUAGUGGCAAAGCAUUGGGGGAACGCCAGUGUCAUGGCCACCUAAGGCUUCAGUGCCAUUUGGGACAAGCAAGCGACCAGCCAAAAUUUUGAGAAGAUCUGGGGCACAAGAUAGCCAUGGGGGACUUUGGGAAGCACCAGCGUAUUCCUGGGGAUCUAGAAGCACACACACACUAAGAGCUGCGUGUACAUGUAGGAGGGGACUCAACCCUGGAUCCCUGGCUGACCAUGAGGGCCUAUGAGGCCGAAAGUAAAAUCCAAGUCAGACUUGUAGCCUGCCUGACUUUUGUGUUCCCCAGCCCACACUCUAAGGUCCAGCUGGCAAAGGACAGAAAGAAGGCGCUCCUUCAAGGUAUUUAAGGAAAACUUCUGACCAACUAAUGACUGGCCACUAAGCUGUGCUGAGCCAGGAGUGGUCCCUAGGAAGGCUGGUUUAAAAACAAAAAUAAGAACUAAAACAAGCAAGCAAACUGAACAGAGGCUUUGGUUGUCCCACACUGCGGGGAAGACAAAACAUACAGAACUAGUCCAGGCAAGUCACCAAA